AUUUAAUGUACAUGUACAGUAUUUAUCCACAUUUAGCGUCUGCCUCUUGUCUAAGGUAAUUUUAAAACACUUGCUAUGUUCUACAUUUUGGUGUAAGUACCAGGUACAUUUCAAAAUCUAUUUUAUUUUCUUAUAAUAUCUGUUCUAUUCUUAUUAAUCCCCCAAUAUAAGAGAGGGAGAAUCUAGAUAGUUUACCCUGAUUUAGAGACUCCAGAUAGUUUACCCUAAUUUAGAGAGAGACUCCAGAUAGUUUACCCUAAUUUAGAGAGAGACUCCAGAUUGUUUACCCUAAUUUAGAGAGAGACUCCAGAUAGUUUACCCUAAUUUAGAGAGAAACUCCAGAUAGUUUACCGUAAUAUAGAGAGACUCCAGAUAGUUUACCCUAAUUUAGAAAGACUCCAGAUAGUUUACCCUAAUUUAGAGACUCCAGAUAGUUUAUCCUAAUUUAGAGAGAGACUCCAGAUAGUUUACCCUAAUUUAGAGAGACUCCAGAUAGUUUACCGUAAUUUAGAGAGACUCCAGAUAGUUUACCCUAAUUUAGAGAGAGACUCCAGAUAGUUUACCCUAAUUUAGAGAGAACUCAAGAUAGUUUACCCUAAUUUAGAGAGACUCCAGAUAGUUUACCCUAAUUUAGAGAGAGACUCCAGAUAGUUUACCCUAAUUUAGAGAAACUCCAGAUAGUUUACCCUAAUUUAGAGAAACUCCAGAUAGUUUACCCUAAUUUAGAGAGACUCCAGAUAGUUUACCCUAAUUUAGAGAGACUCCAGAUUAUUUACCCUAAUUUAGAGAGACUCCAGAUAGUUUACCCUAAUUUAGAGAUUCCAGAUAGUUUACCCUAAUUUAGAGAGACUCCAGAUAGUUUACCCUAAUUUAGAGAGAAACUCCAGAUAGUUUACCGUAAUAUAGAGAGACUCCAGAUAGUUUACCCUAAUUUAGAGAGACUCCAGAUAGUUUACCCUAAUUUAGAGAGAAACUCCAGAUAGUUUACCCUAAUUUAGAGAGACUCCAGAUAGUUUACCCUAAUUUAGAGAGACUCCAGAUAGUUUACCCUAAUUUAGAGAGAAACUCCAGAUAGUUUACCCUAAUUUAGAGAGACUCCAGAUAGUUUACCCUAAUUUAGAGAGACUCCAGAUAGUUUACCCUAAUUUAGAGAGACUCCAGAUAGUUUACCCUAAUUUAGAGAGAGACUCCAGAUAGUUUACCCUAAUUUAGAGAGACUCCAGACAGUUUACCCCAAUUUAGAGAGACUCCAGAUAGUUUACCCUAAUUUAGAGAUACAUUGUACUCCAGAUAGUUUACCCUAAUUUAGAGAGACUCCAGAUUGUUUACCCUAAUUUAGAGAGAAAUUCCAGACAGUUUACUCUAAUUUAGAGAGAUUCCAGUAUGUUUAUGGCUAGAUCAUGUUUUCUAAAAUACAUGUAUACCUUGGUCGUAGGCAUUGUAAGAGAUAUUAAGACUAGGAGCGAAGAAUCACAAAUCAAGCCUUCUCAUGGCCCUUCUCUAGCAUCUAGUACUGUAUACUGUCCAGUAUAUAUACUUGUACAGUUUGUAUUCAUAAAUAAAAUGUUUAUAUUUUC